rnacentral:rRNA from 1 species
GACGAACGCUGGCGGCGUGCUUAACACAUGCAAGUCGAACGGUGAAGCGCCUUCCUUUUUGGUGGGUGUGGAUGAGUGGCGAACGGGUGAGUAACACGUGAGUAACCUGCCCCCUUCUUCUGGAUAACCGCAUGAAAGUGUGGCUAAUACGGGAUAUUCUGGGUCUGUCGCAUGAUGGGUCUGGGAAAGAUAUUGUUUCGGUGGGGGAUGGGCUCGCGGCCUAUCAGCUUGUUGGUGGGGUGAUGGCCUACCAAGGCGGUGACGGGUAGCCGGCCUGAGAGGGUGGACGGUCCCACUGGGACGGAGACACGGCCCAGACUCCUACGGGAGGCAGCAGUGGGGAAUAUUGCACAAUGGGCGCAAGCCUGAUGCAGCGACGCCGCGUGAGGGAUGGAGGCCUUCGGGUUGUGAACCUCUUUCGCCAGUGAAGCAGGCCUGCCUCGUUUGUGGGUGGGUUGACGGUAGCUGGAUAAGAAGCGCCGGCUAACUACGUG